rnacentral:rRNA from 1 species
AGUGAACGCUGGCGGUAGGCCUAACACAUGCAAGUCGAACGGCAGCACAGUAAUAGCUUGCUCUUACGGGUGGCGAGUGGCGGACGGGUGCGGGAUACAUCCGAAUCUACUUUUUCGUGGGGGAGAACGUAGGGAAACUUACGCUAAUACCGCAUACGACCUACGGGUGAAAGCAGGGGAUCUUCGGAUCUUGCGCGAUUGAAUGAGCCGAUGUCGGAUUAGCUAGUUGGCGGGGUAAAGGCCCACCAAGGCGACGAUCCGUAGCUGGUCUGAGAGGAUGAUCAGCCACACUGGAACUGAGACACGGUCCAGACUCCUACGGGAGGCAGCAGUGGGGAAUAUUGGACAAUGGGCGCAAGCCUGAUCCAGCCAUACCGCGUGGGUGAAGAAGGCCUUCGGGUUGUAAAGCCCUUUUGUUGGGAAAGAAAAGCAGCAGGUUAAUACCCCGCUGUUCUGACGGUACCCAAAGAAUAAGCACCGGCUAACUUCGUG